UACGUAGGGUGCAAGCGUUAAUCGGAAUUACUGGGCGUAAAGCGUGCGCAGGCGGUUAUACAAGACAGGCGUGAAAUCCCCGGGCUUAACCUGGGAAUGGCGCCUGUGACUGUAUAGCUAGAGUGUGUCAGAGGGGGGUAGAAUUCCACGUGUAGCAGUGAAAUGCGUAGAUAUGUGGAGGAAUACCAAUGGCGAAGGCAGCCCCCUGGGAUAACACUGACGCUCAUGCACGAAAGCGUGGGGAGCAAACAGG
rnacentral:rRNA from 1 species